AGGGAAACCGAGUCUUAACUGGGCGUUAAGUUGCAGGGUAUAGACCCGAAACCCGGUGAUCUAGCCAUGGGCAGGUUGAAGGUUGGGUAACACUAACUGGAGGACCGAACCGACUAAUGUUGAAAAAUUAGCGGAUGACUUGUGGCUGGGGGUGAAAGGCCAAUCAAACCGGGAGAUAGCUGGUUCUCCCCGAAAGCUAUUUAGGUAGCGCCUCGUGAACUCAUCUUCGGGGGUAGAGCACUGUUUCGGCUAGGGGGUCAUCCCGACUUACCAACCCGAUGCAAACUGCGAAUACCGAAGAAUGUUAUCACGGGAGACACACGGCGGGUGCUAACGUCCGUCGUGAAGAGGGAAACAACCCAGACCGCCAGCUAAGGUCCCAAAGUCACAGUUAAGUGGGAAACGAU
rnacentral:rRNA from 1 species